AGAGUUUGAUCCUGGCUCAGAGUGAACGCUGGCGGCGUGCUUAACACAUGCAAGUCGAACGAGAACGGGUCAUAGCUUGCUAUGAUUGUCAGCUAAGUGGCGCACGGGUGAGUAAUAUAUAGGUAAUAUGCCUCUUACUAAGGGAUAACAGAUGGAAACGUCUGCUAAUACCUUAUAUGCCUUUAAGACUAAAGUCUGCAAGGGAAAGAUUUAUUGGUAAGAGAUUAGCCUGUACAGUAUCAGUUAGUUGGUGAGGUAAUGGCUCACCAAGACAAUGACACUUAACUGGCUUGAGAGGAUGAUCAGUCACACUGGAACUGAGACACGGUCCAGACUCCUACGGGAGGCAGCAGUGGGGAAUAUUGCACAAUGGACGAAGGUCUGAUGCAGCAACGCCGCGUGGAGGAUGACACAUUUCGGUGCGUAAACUCCUUUUAUAUGGGAAGAUAAUGACGGUACCAUAUGAAUAAGCACCGGCUAACUCCGUGCCAGCAGCCGCGGUAAUACGGAGGGUGCAAGCGUUACUCGGAAUCACUGGGCGUAAAGAGCGUGUAGGCGGGUUGAUAAGUUCGAAGUGAAAUCCUAUAGCUUAACUAUAGAACUGCUUUGAAAACUGUUAACCUAGAAUAUGGGAGAGGUAGAUGGAAUUUCUGGUGUAGGGGUAAAAUCCGUAGAGAUCAGAAGGAAUACCGAUUGCGAAGGCGAUCUACUGGAACAUUAUUGACGCUGAGACGCGAAAGCGUGGGUAGCAAACGGGAUUAGAUACCCCGGUAGUCCACGCCCUAAACGAUGUACACUAGUUGUUGUGAGGCUCGACCUUGCAGUAAUGCAGUUAACACAUUACGUGUACCGCCUGGGGAGUACGGUCGCAAGAUUAAAACUCAAAGGAAUAGACGGGGACCCGCACAAGCGGUGGAGCAUGUGGUUUAAUUCGACGAUACACGAAGAACCUUACCUGGACUUGACAUAGUAAGAACUUUCUAGAGAUAGAUUGGUGUCUGCUUGCAGAAACUUAUAUACAGGUGCUGCACGGCUGUCGUCAGCUCGUGUCGUGAGAUGUUGGGUUAAGUCCCGCAACGAGCGCAACCC
rnacentral:rRNA from 1 species